CACAGAGAGACAGGGGGCCUUUUGCCAAGUCAGUUGCGGUUGAUGGAGAGGUUAACAGUAACUUGAGUCCUGAGGGUUAGGAAAAUCUUGCAAAGCUACAUCUCCUGGUUUUUACAACCUCUCUUGAUAAGCAUUGAACUGGGAGUGGGGAGUCCUCUAUUUUAUUCACUAUUACUGACUGGCUACCUAGAUGAGGUUUCCCAUAGACCACAUAGCCCUGAGACCGUGUGUGUGUGUGUGUGUGUGUGUGUGUGUGUGGUGGCAGGGAGGGUGGUAGGGACAGGGCAUUAGAGGACAGAAGACAGCAAUAGCUCUUGCCCCUACCCUGCACCCUCAACAUCUAAGGAACGGCUGGCACACACCAGAUGAGGAGCCCCACCCUGGAUGCCAGAGGCCCUGCAGAACGUUUCAGAUGUUCAUUUACUUCAGAAACUUUCAGGCAGAUUGUGAUAUCCUGACUUCUAUCAAGAUUGAAGCAGGUCAGCUUUUCUGAAGAAAAGGUCUGUGUCUAGGAGCAGCCUGAAAAACAGGAUCAAUACCGUUAGUGGUUCCAAGCACUGAACAGAUUACCACCACCUCAACACCCCACCCCCAUCCUCCCUGCAAUUCAAAAUAAAAACAAUGUUGAACUUUUAA